rnacentral:rRNA from 1 species
AUGUACAUGCUUACAACAUAGUCUUAGUUCAUUGUAUCACAUUAGAACUCUGCUGUUAAAUGUGCUUGGGAUAGAGUAGUACUAGGAUGGGUGACCACUUGAGAAGUCCUAGUGUUUUACAUG